rnacentral:misc_RNA from 1 species
UAUCUGUUGGCUGUAAACACAUUGUUUGACUGUAUUUAUAUUACAUGUAGGUUUCCAUGUAUUUAAUUAUUGUAUGUUGGCAAACUAUGAGCGUUUAUAUAAUAUGUUAUUUUAUAUAUAAACAAAUUGUUCUUUCAUAUUACAUGUAGACUGUCAAUAUUCUUGUAUAGUAUAUGUAGACAAAUAGACAGUGUUUAUGUCAUUGUUACCAUGUGUAUUAAAUGACUCAGUAUUCAUACUGCAUGUAAACAAACUCUGUUUAUUUUUACAUGUAUACAAGAUGACAGUUUAUCUAUAACAUGUCAACAAUCUGUGGGGGUUUUUUUAACAUGAAAAAUGUAAUGGUCUAUAUAUUUAUAUGUUACAUGUGGUUAUUCAAAAAUUCUGUUACAUGUAUUAAUGACAAAGGUUAAUGGACGUGUAGCACUCAAUUCUUUACCAGCAAUGGAGCGAGGCCACAAAAGGACUGAGGCCCAUUCCUUAUAAAGAGGAGUGGUACAGGUAUAUUAACCCAAGUAGAAUUCCAACUGUCUUAGCUAAUUAUCAUUACUUACCUUUAAAUCUUAAGAAUUAGAGUAGUCGUGUGUGAUAUUCUAACAGCCUUGUUUUCUCAGAUAACUAUUCAAACUUCAGAAAAUCCACAUCUAAUAUAUUUAGGUCCUUGUUGUUUUUUCUGGGUUUUUUUUUGCUGAACUAAUCAGAUGUUUCUGAAAAAUGAUAUUAAAUAGUGAGUAUAUUUACAUGAUGAUGUUUUGAAUGUAUUUUUGUGAGCUUUCGUUAAUAAAAAUUUAAAC